rnacentral:rRNA from 1 species
UACGGAGGGUGCAAGCGGUAAUCGGAAUUACUGGGCGUAAAGGGCGCGUAGGCGGUACGUUAGGUCUGCCGUGAAAUCCCCGGGCUCAACCUGGGAAUGGCGGUGGAAACCGGCGCACUAGAGUAUGGGAGAGGGUGAUGGAAUUCCAGGUGUAGCGGUGAAAUGCGUAGAGAUCUGGAGGAACAUCAGUGGCGAAGGCGGUCACCUGGCCCAAUACUGACGCUGAGGCUCAAAAGCGUGGGGAGCAAACAGG